rnacentral:lncRNA from 1 species
AGCAAGCGCGAUCUGCCGGUGCCUUGGCGGUCUGGCGUGCAGACAGACGUUCUCGGGGACGUCUAGAUGGAGAAAGUGCCCGGCGCCGUUGCUCCUUGUGCGUGUGAACGGAGACGACCUCAGCCCGUGACGGUCUCAGUUUGCGGAGCGCUUCACUCGCGUGAAAGAAACCACGUACAGAGGUCUGGACGUUGGCCAUGGUUUUCCCUACCCCACCACAGUGCACUUGACAGACUCUAGGAAGAACAGUCAACAGAAACCAAAGAAAGUUCUCCAAUGAGGCCAUAAGGCUCCCAGGGGAAGCGGCACUGGAAGUAGGACGCCCAGGUUGAAGGCUUAACGGAUAAGGUGAUUGUGAAAAGAAGCGUCCAGGGAUAAAGACAGUUUCAGGCAGAGAAGGGCGAAUAGAAACCUGAGCCAGGUGUGACUGUAAUUCCAGCCCUCCAGGCUGAGGCAGGAUGACAAGUGAGUUCCAGGCCAGCCUCGGGUACAUAGUCUUACCUGUCUCAAAACAAAAGGAGAACGAUUAGGCAGGAACAUGGAGAUUGAAAACAUACAGCCGGACAGGCUAGUGAAGAUCUUAGAAUCCCAGCUGGCGGGAGACCUACGGUAGAAUCCCAAAAGAGAAGAAAGAAGGCAGAGUGCACUGUGGACCAGAGAAGGGCAUUGCCAGAAACAGAGGGUCCAUAGAGGUUCGGCUGAAGCCCUUGCUACCUGGCUGGAGACCCUCAGUUUUAAUCAUAGUGGAUGCAGCUGAAACCUUUUGUGCUUCUCUUUGGGGCACCAUUCUUCUCAAGACUAGUAGGCAUUAGGUGUGUCUGAAAGAAUCAAAGGUGCUUUAUCUAUGGUGACUGAACUCUACUUGUCCCUCCAAGAAGUUGAAAGCUGUCCAGACAUGGUGGUACAUGCCUGCAAUCUCAG